rnacentral:sRNA from 1 species
UAUUCCAGCCCAGUAGACACAGCUCACAAGGUACUGAUUAGCCUGAGGACCUUCCUGAGGAGGAAUGAGGAUAUCCAAGUGGGCGGUCUUAUCCGAGGCCACUUCCUGCUGAUCCUGCAGCGUCUGCUAGUGGAGCAUGGGACAUCCCCAUCAGGAGCCUCGGGGAACCUACCAUUGCUGCUGAGCCUCCUCUCCCUGAUGCAGCUCAGGAAUGUGUCAGAGCAAGAACUGGACAGCGUGGCCAUGAAGCUCCUUCACCAAGGUGCCCUGGCUGCUUGAGAUAGCACCCAAGGGCCCAGGGCUGGACGUGCAGUGGGUGCUCACUAAUAAGCAAGCUGUGUGGGACGUGCAGCCCCACUGACGUGGACAUCCUGCAGCCCUCCUUCAACUUCCUGUAUUGGAGCCUUCAUCAGACCACACCCAGCAGUCAGAAAAGAGCUGCUGCAGUGCUCCUGAGCAGCACAGGCCUGAUGGAGCUUCUGGAGAAGAUGCUGGCACUCACCUUGGCAAAGGCAGAUUCUCCCAGGACUGCACUCCUCUGCUCUGCCUGGCUGCUCACUGCCUCCUUCUCUGCCCAGCAGCACAGUGGCAGUUUGCAGGUUCACCAGACACUCUCUGUGG